UCAUUCAAGACCUUUUAAAGCUAGCAUUACCACAUUUAUUAAUGUAUUUAUUAUGUUAAGUGAGUACAACACAGUUCUGUUAGUGGAAAAUUAAUGCAUAUUUAUGUGUGUUUUCUCACAGUUUAGCGCAAACGUUUCCUGCGCAAGUUUGAAUCUCUCAGUCAGGGGGGAGAUUGACUGACUGACUGACUGACUGUCUACUCGCCACCAAACAGUCAGUUACACAGAGGUAACAAGUAAGGACUAACGUUAACUGACUGUCUGUCUGUCUGUCUGUCUGUCUGCUCUCAACCAAACAGUCAUUCAAGACCUUUUAAAGGUAACAUUACCACGUUCAUUCAUUCAUUCAUUUAUUAUGUUGUUUGAGUACACCACAGUUCUGUUAAGUGAAAAAAUAAUAAAUAUUUAUGUGUGUUUUCUCACAGUUUAGUGCAAACGUUUCCAGCGCAAGUUUGAAUCUCUCUCAGUCAGGGGGGAGAUUGACUGACAGACUGUCUUCUCGCCACCAAACAGUAAUCUACACAGAAACCUUUUAAAGUUUAGCACAAACGUUUCCCGCGCAAGUUUGGAUCUUUACCAUUGAGGGUGGCUGACUGUUUUCGACCAACCAUCAUUCACACCUAGAAACUUUAAAGGCAUCACAUUUAUUUAUGUUGUGAGUAUACCACAGUUCUGUCAGUGGAAAAUGUAUUCAUAUUUUUGUGUUUUCUCACAGAUAAGUAUGAACGUGCCCAGAGCAGUUUUCGAUCUUUACCAUUAAGGAGGCUGAAUGACUAUCCUCUACCACCCGUCAUUAACACAACAAAAACUAAAGAAAUGUUACUCCAUAUGGACCUAUUCAUUUACUCAUUAUGCUGUGAGUACACCACAGUUUUAUCAGGGAAAAAAUUUAUAUUUGUGUGUUUCUCACUGCUUGACAAGGACAGAUGUGGCCCUGUUAAAAAUGUUUAAAUGUCGUUUGGUUUAAGGAACAGCACACUGAUUUUGUUUUAAAAUAUUCCUGUUUGGACAGUCUGUUAAAGUCAUAAAGGAAUACUUGAUAUAUUUCAUAAGUAAAGUGUAAAUGUAAUAUUAGUUUUUAAUGUUGUGAAUUUAGACUGAACAGCACACUUCUGUUUUAUAUCUAAACCUUUUGUAAAAUAAAUGAUUGUUCAAUAAACUGUGUAUUUUAUCUUUUCUGUUAUCAUUUUUUUAUACUAAUGUUUAAAAUGUACCUUUACGCUAAACGAUUGGCUACACCAACACAAAUAUCUUGAGUCAUAUGCACUUAUAAUUUAAAGUUUACAGUACUUAGAUUGAGAUAUAUGUAUAAGUUUUAAAACCAUAAUCAAUGAGU